rnacentral:rRNA from 1 species
UACGAAGGGGGCUAGCGUUGCUCGGAAUCACUGGGCGUAAAGGGUGCGUAGGCGGGUCUUUAAGUCAGGGGUGAAAUCCUGGAGCUCAACUCCAGAACUGCCUUUGAUACUGAAGAUCUUGAGUUCGGGAGAGGUGAGUGGAACUGCGAGUGUAGAGGUGAAAUUCGUAGAUAUCGAGAGGAACACCAGUGGCGAAGGCGAGUCCCUGGACAGGUCCUGACGCUGAGGCACGAAAGCUAGGGGAGCAAACAGG